UGGAGGAAAGCAGGGGAUCGCAAGACCUUGCGCUUUUGGAGCGGCCGAUGUCUGAUUAGCUAGUUGGUAGGGUAAAGGCUUACCAAGGCAACGAUCAGUAGUUGGUCUGAGAGGACGACCAGCCACACUGGGACUGAGACACGGCCCAGACUCCUACGGGAGGCAGCAGUGGGGAAUUUUGGACAAUGGGCGAAAGCCUGAUCCAGCCAUGCCGCGUGAGUGAAGAAGGCCCUCGGGUUGUAAAGCUCUUUCAGUCGAGAAGAAAAAAUUGCGACUAAUAAUCGCAAUUCAUGACGGUAUCGACAGAAGAAGCACCGGCUAACUACGUGCCAGCAGCCGCGGUAAUACGUAGGGUGCAAGCGUUAAUCGGAAUUACUGGGCGUAAAGGGUGCGCAGGCGCCUUUGUAAGUCAGACGUGA
rnacentral:rRNA from 1 species